GUUAAAUAACUCAUUAUCCAAUC
rnacentral:miRNA from 1 species